ACACGCCAAACAGGUUGGGGGAGGAAGAGAGCUCCUUAACCCUCACUCAAAUUUCACCUCUCAAUAACUUUUGAUCCGGAGCUCUGAUUGACGAGCCGUUUGCGACUACACGUUCACUGCGACGAGCUCUACAAAACCCAUGGAACAAUUUGGUUCGAUUUAGCCUGCGAAACUUAUCGGGCUUGAGUUGCUACGCGAGUGGGUAUGGUGUGAAUUAAGUUUAUAUAUAAGCAUUGGAAUUGAAAAGUGAGUAUUUGGAGGCUUGUUGGUGAUUAAAGCUAAGAUUGUGGCUGAGUUCCUUGAACAUGAGGGGCUGUUUUAUAGCUUGGAAGGUUGCCUUGGAGUGAAUAAAGUGAUUGGCCAAGAAACCCUUACUUGGUUGAAACACUAAGUCGUGACGCUGUUGCUCCUGGAUGGCCUGUGCGACGAUCUCCGAUCCUCUUGCGUUCUCCGACGAUCUUCUUCGGUAACAUCUCCUCCAGUAUCGACCUCCUUCGGCGACAUCUUCUACAGCGGCGAUUUCCUCCGAUGACGUCUCCUCCAGGUUCCUCUCCUUGUCGUCCUCUGUGUCUUCUCCGCCAAAAUCGUCAACGCCUUCCUCUUCAACGAUCCAGGUCAGCUUCAUUUCCUUCUUUCUUUCCUUCCUUUCCUCUCAUUUCCUUCCUUUGUGAUGAGUAUCUCUUUUUAAGCCGUUUGCGAGGAUUCAUCGCGAGUGGAGAAGUCAGUUCCGCAGGUUGCACCGCCGACAACGUUCCUCCGUAAUUUGUGUUCGACCGCUCUGGCUGCGAUGCCAUCGCCGACGUUCCUCCACUCCUCUUCUUCAUGCCUUUGCCACCGUUCUUUGCUCUUCCAAAGCACUUCAUCAAGCACCGAGCCUCUCGAUGAAGAUACAAAGAACCUAGAUUGUGAGUUUGCAGUUUCAUUCGGACUAAUUCAUUGUGGUUUCCUGCUUUGGAAUCUUUGCAUGGAGUUUUGAUUGAGUUUCGAGAUUCUAAAUAUGCUAGCAUUGAUGGGAUCAUGUUUCCACUGUUUCUCUAGAUAGUUGAAUUUUAAGUUGAAGGCUUGCUAUUCAAAGGCUUGAGAUUGCAAAAAGUGAUUUGCAGCACAGAAUUGCAAAGGAGGCUAGAGGCAAUGCUUUUAUAAGCAAGCUUAGAAAGAAGGAAGCAAGCUCUGCACGAGUAGCGAUUGGCACUUGAACAAGAUGUUUCAAGAUUGCAAGAACAAUUGCAAGCUGAGAGGGAUCUUAGAGCGGCAUUGGAAGUUGGAUUGAACAAAGGCCGAGCUGGAGGAGAUUACACUUGCUGAAGCUGAUAUUGCCAGGUUGAAGUAGAAAGUUGCGGAACUUCACCAUCAACUUAACCAGCAGCGACAUCAUCACUAUGGUUCACUUAAUGAUGUGGGUGAUCGAUACCAACAUGCCCAAAACCAUCCUCAGCAGAGAUUUCUUCAGCAAGAUUUUGAUUCAACUCUUGUCUUUUGUAAUCAUGAAAGGAAACAAAGGGCUGAGGAGGGCUUGUUGGGCACAGAUUGGAGAAAUCUCAAAGGACAAGUAUUGGCAACUGGUAAUGGCAGUCGACAACCUACUCGAAAGCAAUUUAUGGACUCAAUUCCUAGUGAUUCAAAAAGUACUGAGUCAUUGACAAGCAUGUCUGUUGAUGAGCUUGGUGUCGUUGACUCUAUUGCUAUGCCCUCCACCUCAAGGGCUGCAGAGGAAUCUUGCUCACAAUCAGUUCCAGAAAAGAUUGAACGUUAACUUCAUGAAGCUUUCUACCCUCUCUUCAUUGGAUCUCUCCUUCAAUUUAUUGACAAGUGACCUUCCGCAGACUUUUAGCUCACUUUCAGGCAUUACCAGCAUGUAUCUGCAGAACAACCAGUUUACAGGCACUAUUGAUGUCCUUGCUAAUCUGCCUCAUUGUGAUAUCAUUGGUUUGUAAGAAAUGAGUUUGGAUAAUAAAGUUGGAGUGUUGGAGCAAGAAACAAAGAUGUUGGAGCAAGUCCCCAAGAUGAAACUCACACAAGAGACCAAGAAACUAAGGCAGGCUUGUUUUAAAGUUAAUUACAAAAGGAGAAAAUUUUUGGCCUCCAAAUCUUAUUCAUCAUCACUUAGCUAAACUACUUGUCUUGUAUAUUCAUAUUCUAAGUAGUAAAAAUAGCACUUAUUAGAUGGUUUAAAUACAUUAUUAGAUAUUAACAUAGUUUAGGGAAUUGGAUGGUAGAUUUGACUGAUUAGUGUUUAUUGCAAUGCUUGUAUUUUGGUAAGUUUAGUAAGACAAAGUUUUGUAUAGGAGUUAUUACUUUUGAUUUUCAAUAAUAAAAAAUUAUAUAUUAUAUUAA